AUACGGAGGGUGCAAGCGUUGUCCGGAAUUAUUGGGUGUAAAGGGUGUGCAGGCGGGGCGGUAAGUCAGGGGUGAAAGUCUACGGCUCAACCGUAGGAUGGCCUUUGAUACUGUCGUCCUUGAGUCCCGGAGAGGCCAUUAGAAUUCGUGGUGUAGCGGUGAAAUGCGUAGAUAUCACGAGGAAUACCGGAAGCGUAGGCGGAUGGCUGGACGGCGACUGACGCUCAGGCACGAAAGCGUGGGGAGCGAACAGGAUUAGAUACCCUGGUAGUCCACACUGUAAACGAUGGAUGCUCGGUGUUCGACUCCGUUAGCGGGUUGAGUGCCCAAGUUAACGCGAUAAGCAUCCCACCUGGGGAGUACGCUCGCAAGAGUGAA
rnacentral:rRNA from 1 species